CCUACGGGAGGCAGCAGUGAGGAAUAUUGGUCAAUGGACGAGAGUCUGAACCAGCCAAGUAGCGUGAAGGAUGACUGCCCUAUGGGUUGUAAACUUCUUUUAUAAAGGAAUAAAACGAGGCACGUGUGCCUUUUUGCAUGUACUUUAUGAAUAAGGAUCGGCUAACUCCGUGCCAGCAGCCGCGGUAAUACGGAGGAUCCGAGCGUUAUCCGGAUUUAUUGGGUUUAAAGGGAGCGUAGAUGGGUUGUUAAGUCAGUUGUGAAAGUUUGCGGCUCAACCGUAAAAUUGCAAUUGAUACUGGCAGUCUUGAGUACAGUUGAGGUAGGCGGAAUUCGUGGUGUAGCAGUGAAAUGCGUAGAUAUCACGAAGAACCCCGAUUGCGAAGGCAGCUUACUAAACUGUGACUGACAUUGAUGCGCGAAAGUGUGGGUAUCAAACAGGAUUAGAUACCCUUGUAGUC
rnacentral:rRNA from 1 species